rnacentral:rRNA from 1 species
CAGUAGCCGCGGUAAUACGAAGGGGGCUAGCGUUGUUCGGAAUUAUUGGGCGUAAAGAGCUCGUAGGCGGUCUGUCGCGCCUGCUGUGAAAACUGGAGGCUCAACCUCCAGCCUGCAGUGGGUACGGGCAGACUAGAGUGCGGUAGGGGAGAUUGGAAUUCCUGGUGUAGCGGUGGAAUGCGCAGAUAUCAGGAGGAACACCGAUGGCGAAGGCAGAUCUCUGGGCCGUAACUGACGCUGAGGAGCGAAAGCAUGGGGAGUGAACAGGAUUAGAUACCCCCGUAGUCCCUGUCUCUUAUAC